rnacentral:rRNA from 1 species
AGCGCAUACGGUGGAUGCCUUGGCAGUCAGAGGCGAUGAAAGACGUGGUAGCCUGCGAAAAGCUUCGGGGAGUCGGCAAACAGACUUUGAUCCGGAGAUCUCUGAAUGGGGGAACCCACCUAGGAUAACCUAGGUAUCUUGUACUGAAUCCAUAGGUGCAAGAGGCGAACCAGGGGAACUGAAACAUCUAAGUACCCUGAGGAAAAGAAAUCAACCGAGAUUCCCUUAGUAGUGGCGAGCGAACGGGGAUUAGCCCUUAAGCUUCAUUGAUUUUAGCGGAACGCUCUGGAAAGUGCGGCCAUAGUGGGUGAUAGCCCCGUACGCGAAAGGAUCUUUGAAGUGAAAUCGAGUAGGACGGAGCACGAGAAACUUUGUCUGAACAUGGGGGGACCAUCCUCCAAGGCUAAAUACUACUGACUGACCGAUAGUGAACCAGUACCGUGAGGGAAAGGCGAAAAGAACCCCGGAGAGGGGAGUGAAAUAGAACCUGAAACCGUAUGCGUACAAGCAGUGGGAGCCUACUUGUUAGGUGACUGCGUACCUUUUGUAUAAUGGGUCAGCGACUUAUAUUCAGUGGCAAGCUUAACCGUAUAGGGUAGGCGUAGCGAAAGCGAGUCUUAAUAGGGCGUUUAGUCGCUGGGUAUAGACCCGAAACCGGGCGAUCUAUCCAUGAGCAGGUUGAAGGUUAGGUAACACUGACUGGAGGACCGAACCCACUCCCGUUGAAAAGGUAGGGGAUGACUUGUGGAUCGGAGUGAAAGGCUAAUCAAGCUCGGAGAUAGCUGGUUCUCCUCGAAAGCUAUUUAGGUAGCGCCUCAUGUAUCACUCUGGGGGGUAGAGCACUGUUUCGGCUAGGGGGUCAUCCCGACUUACCAAACCGAUGCAAACUCCGAAUACCCAGAAGUGCCGAGCAUGGGAGACACACGGCGGGUGCUAACGUCCGUCGUGAAAAGGGAAACAACCCAGACCGCCAGCUAAGGUCCCAAAGUUGUGGUUAAGUGGUAAACGAUGUGGGAAGGCUUAGACAGCUAGGAGGUUGGCUUAGAAGCAGCCACCCUUUAAAGAAAGCGUAAUAGCUCACUAGUCGAGUCGGCCUGCGCGGAAGAUGUAACGGGGCUCAAACCACACACCGAAGCUGCGGGUGUCACGUAAGUGACGCGGUAGAGGAGCGUUCUGUAAGCCUGUGAAGGUGAGUUGAGAAGCUUGCUGGAGGUAUCAGAAGUGCGAAUGCUGACAUGAGUAACGACAAUGGGUGUGAAAAACACCCACGCCGAAAGACCAAGGGUUCCUGCGCAACGUUAAUCGACGCAGGGUUAGUCGGUUCCUAAGGCGAGGCUGAAAAGCGUAGUCGAUGGGAAACAGGUUAAUAUUCCUGUACUUCUGGUUACUGCGAUGGAGGGACGGAGAAGGCUAGGCCAGCUUGGCGUUGGUUGUCCAAGUUUAAGGUGGUAGGCUGAAAUCUUAGGUAAAUCCGGGGUUUCAAGGCCGAGAGCUGAUGACGAGUCGUCUUUUAGAUGACGAAGUGGUUGAUGCCAUGCUUCCAAGAAAAGCUUCUAAGCUUCAGGUAACCAGGAACCGUACCCCAAACCGACACAGGUGGUCGGGUAGAGAAUACCAAGGCGCUUGAGAGAACUCGGGUGAAGGAACUAGGCAAAAUGGCACCGUAACUUCGGGAGAAGGUGCGCCGGCUAGGGUGAAGGAUUUACUCCGUAAGCUCUGGCUGGUCGAAGAUACCAGGCCGCUGCGACUGUUUAUUAAAAACACAGCACUCUGCAAACACGAAAGUGGACGUAUAGGGUGUGACGCCUGCCCGGUGCCGGAAGGUUAAUUGAUGGGGUUAGCGCAAGCGAAGCUCUUGAUCGAAGCCCCGGUAAACGGCGGCCGUAACUAUAACGGUCCUAAGGUAGCGAAAUUCCUUGUCGGGUAAGUUCCGACCUGCACGAAUGGCGUAACGAUGGCGGCGCUGUCUCCACCCGAGACUCAGUGAAAUUGAAAUCGCUGUGAAGAUGCAGUGUAUCCGCGGCUAGACGGAAAGACCCCGUGAACCUUUACUGUAGCUUUGCACUGGACUUUGAGCCUGCUUGUGUAGGAUAGGUGGGAGGCUUUGAAGCGUGGACGCCAGUUCGCGUGGAGCCAUCCUUGAAAUACCACCCUGGCAUGCUUGAGGUUCUAACUCUGGUCCGUGAUCCGGAUCGAGGACAGUGUAUGUGGGCAGUUGA